rnacentral:lncRNA from 1 species
AGUGCUCGUGGAAGCCAGCAGAGGGUGUAGGGUCUCCUGGAGCCACAUCUCUGGAGUUACAUGAAGUUGUGGACCUCUCAACAUGGGUUCUGGGAACUGAACCCAGGUCCUCUGGAAGGACAUCGAGUGCUCUUAACCACUGAGCCAUCUCUGCAGCCUAACCCCAUCCCGCGACCUGGCUCUUGUUUGGGCCUAAGGAAAAGCCGACUGUAAGCCGGGAAGCAUCUCUGGCAAGAACAAGGAAGGAUUAAGCACGUCUGUGGUUGUGCGCAGGGAUCACAAGGUGCUCCUGCAGUGGGAAGAGCCACCACUAGGGGCGCUCCAAGUCUUGUAUUUUCUACCUUGAAAACUCGUUUCCCUGUGGCUGCCCUCC